rnacentral:misc_RNA from 1 species
GAUGAAGAACGCAGCGAAAUGCGAUAAGUAAUGCGAAUUGCAGAAUCCGUGAGUCAUCGAAUCUUUGAACGCAUAUUGCGCCCUUUGGCAUUCCGAAGGGCAUGCCUGUUCGAGCGUCAUUUCAACCCUCAAGCCCCGCUUGGUGUUGGGCCCCGCCCGCUGUGGCCGGCCCUAAAGACAGUGGCGGCGCCGCCUGGCCCUCAGCGUAGUACAUCUCUCGCUCCAGGGUCCGGUGGCCGCCUGCCAGAACCCCCCAACUCUGUGGUUGACCUCGGAUCAGGUAGGGAUACCCGCUGAACUUAAGCAUAUCAAUAAGCGGAGGA